UGCAUAUAUCUAGAUUAAGACUUGUUAUCUUAUACUAGUAUUGUGUUUUAAAAUUUAAUUAUAAGAGAUGGACAUUUUUAGUACAAUCAAGAUACAAUAUGUUGUAGUGUUAAUUUCUUGUAAUGCAAAUGUCAAAGCAGACAAUUUGGCACGGAAAGUCUGUAUCGAACCGCAUCAUAUCACGUAUGUAAAGAACAUUCCUCAAGAAUGGCUUUUUGAGUUUUAUCUAAUUAAUAUCGGUUGACAAAAAAAAAAUAUUGUAGUGCUUACAUAAUUUUCGGAAACCGCUUCUUAACAUAUUGCUUACAUAGAUUACACCCAAAUGUUUUUCAACCAUCUUCUACAGGCUGAAACUCUGUAUAACUUGCAAGCGCUCUUGCGAAUAAGUCUGCCUUCAAAAUGUUUAGACUUAUGCCAAGAAAUGGCUCAGAAAUUUGAGUCAUAGAUCCACAUUUCAGACAUGUAAACAAAUUGCAUAGGGUACACCAAUGUAUUUCAUGUAAUAAGCCACUAGCAAAGCCACGAAAACAAGAAAGCCAACGAAAACUUCAACUUCUGCAACAGUCGGCAUCUUCUCUUUUUACUUUUUUUACUUUCAAUGUAUCAGUUCUUAAAGCUAAUGUGUUUUUCUCUAAAGGUCUUCUGUAGUCAUAUAUUGAUAGUGACUUUCUUAGCUCAUUUUAUACAGCCAUUUUAUAUAUAGGGAUCAGUACUAUCUCCAAAAUCUAAACCAACUACGACAUGUUAAUUAU
rnacentral:sRNA from 1 species